rnacentral:rRNA from 1 species
UGGGGAAUCUUCCGCAAUGGACGAAAGUCUGACGGAGCAACGCCGCGUGAGUGAAGACGGCCUUCGGGUUGUAAAGCUCUGUUAUUCGGGAAGAAAGAGCCGCUUGUAAAUAAUGAGCGGAAGUGACGGUACCGAAAGAGAAAGCCACGGCUAACUACGUGCCAGCAGCCGCGGUAAUACGUAGGUGGCAAGCGUUGUCCGGAAUUAUUGGGCGUAAAGAGCGCGUAGGCGGUCAUGCAAGUCAAUCUUAAAAGUGCGGGGCUUAACCCCGUGAUGGGAUUGAAACUGUAUGACUUGAGUAUCGGAGAGGAAAGUAGAAUUCCUAGUGUAGCGGUGGGAUGCGUAGAGAUUAGGAAGAAUACCGGUGGCGAAGGCGACUUUCUGGACGAAGACUGACGCUGAGGCGCGAAAGCGUGGGGAGCAAACAGG